GCCCGUUGACUUGACUGAAACAGUACAGGUAUGCGUGUAUAUUACGAUUUAUUCGGCGAUAGGUAUUAUAGAUAUUAUAACCCGCCGUAUACACGCCGUCGUGGUGGCUACGACAGCGCGUGACGUACAGUCGGUAUCGAUUGUUUCCGAUCUAUCAAGUAGGUCCGACAACGUUCAGCGGUCAGUUACGUAUGCACGAACGGGUAUGCUCUUAAGUUGGACAUAGUAUAGGUGGAUGGAGAAAAUUGACAUACAGAAGAUACUAAAUUGUUAGCAUUAAUUGUUAACAAAUGACACAUACACCACUUGGAUAUGGCAACCGGGCGGUUGUGAAGGCCAGAUACAGAAAGGAUGGACACCUAUUGUAGUGGCCACACUGGAACUUAAUAGAUUACAAACAGAAAUAGUAAGUACUCAAGUUGGACAAGGGGACAGUGUUUUAAUCAUCGCUAAAAUCCCAAAACUACCCGGACAUGGGUGAUGAGUCAUAUAUAAAAAAAUUCCAAGAUUAUCUCAUAAAUGACUGCCGAAAAUACAUGGAGAAUUUAAAACGAAUAUUGGAAGGUAUGAUCAUUAAAUUGGAAGAAACCUGGUUUAGCAUUGAAUUAUUUAACUAUGGUGAGGAGAUAAUUUUUAAUGAUGCAUAUAUGUUAGGUGUCAUUAAAAAGAUCGGAAAGAUGUUUCAAGAUGUCAGUGAUGCGCUUAUCCAUCUAUUUCAAAUAGUAUUUCAUCCAUAAGUACUACCAUGCACUCAUCCACUUUAAAAGUAUUUUCCAUUUAAUCAAUGAUAGAAAUCAUGUUAUUAUUACUAAAAAGAGAAUACACAUUCAGCUUUAACUUAGGAGAUAAUAUCCGCUAUAUGAUGAUCAAACACCACCAAUCUAUUGGAUAGUAGUUUCUUUCCUAUUAUGAUUACCGAGUAAUUUUGGAGGAUGAGUCUAUUAGAGUUUUAGUUAGUUUUAUCAGAGUAUAAGUUAACAUACUUAAAGAGAUAUUAGAGAUUGCGUCGAAUGAUCGGGCAAAAAAUACCGGGCACUGAUAUACAAAAACUUUUAUCAUAUAAUAAGCAGAGCUCUGAUAAGUUGGUAAAUUAUUUAAUCAACCCCAAGCCUUGUAUUCCGAGGGUCUAUCAUGAGUUAGAAAGAAAUUCUCCGGACGGAGCCAAAUUAAACUUCCUUUUAACAUACAUAGACAUGCGAACCAUGAAGGUCAUAGAUUAUUCACAGACAUCUAAUUAAAUUCACUGAAGUUGUCUAAUUUAAAACAAAUCGAAAUUCUCGUGGUAUUGUAUCAAAGGAUAAAUAAUGGAAAUUUUGCUUGAAAAGAUCAACUCAACUUCAAUAGUUUUUUUAUUUAAACGGAGGUUCAGGCAAGAUCAAUUCUUGAAUGGCGCUAUUAUAAGUCGUAUACAAUAAGACGUUGUGGAAUGCGAUUUGAAAUUUCCUAUUUUUUAACUUCACACGACUGACAAGCGUGUGAAAAUUCAUACGCCUUCUUAAGUGUGGAUCUAACCACACCGCCGGUAGCUUAUCUCAUACGACGAUG